UACGUAGGGGGCAAGCGUUGUCCGGAUUUAUUGGGCGUAAAGAGCGUGUAGGCGGCUUUACAGGUCCGUUGUGAAAACUCGAGGCUCAACCUCGAGACGCCGGUGGAAACCGUAAAGCUAGAGUCCGGAAGAGGCGAGUGGAAUUCCCGGUGUAGCGGUGAAAUGCGCAGAUAUCGGGAGGAACACCAAUGGCGAAGGCAGCUCGCUGGGACGGUACUGACGCUGAGACGCGAAAGCGUGGGGAGCAAACAGG
rnacentral:rRNA from 1 species